GUUGUUUAAGUCCGCGGCAUUUAGGCAUGAUUGUAUUUAGGCUAAAUGCUAACGGACUGGAUUAAACACUGGACAACAGCUGUUGUGACCAACGACUGGAUUAAAACACAUUUUGCAAUCUAACGCUAGCACAGCAGCGGACCAUGUCAUCAGAACAGCAACACGUAAAUGUCACACCACAGCCACAUGACAUGCUGAGACAGCAGUUGAUGGAGAGACUUCUUACCAAACUGCAAUCUGCCAUAAACCAGCAACCGCUAAAUUUGGAUUAUUUGGAGUUCCUGACACGCCAUGAGCUUAUUCUGUUUGAAUCGUUCUCUGAGCAGAUAGGCGGUGUAUCAAACAUUACAGAAGCAUUA